CAGCAGCCGCGGUAAUACGAAGGGUGCAAGCGUUACUCGGAAUUACUGGGCGUAAAGCGUGCGUAGGUGGUGGUUUAAGUCGGAUGUGAAAUCCCUGAGCUUAACUUAGGAAUUGCAUUCGAUACUGGGAAGCUAGAGUAUGGGAGAGGAUGGUAGAAUUCCAGGUGUAGCGGUGAAAUGCGUAGAGAUCUGGAGGAAUACCGAUGGCGAAGGCAGCCAUCUGGCCUAAUACUGACGCUGAGGUACGAAAGCAUGGGGAGCAAACAGGAUUAGAUACCCGGGUAGUCCCUGUCUCUUAUAA
rnacentral:rRNA from 1 species